rnacentral:rRNA from 1 species
UGACCUCAAAUGCAAGU